GACGAACGCUGGCGGCGCGCCUAACACAUGCAAGUCGAACGAGCGAGAGAGAGCUUGCUUUCUCGAGCGAGUGGCGAACGGGUGAGUAACGCGUGAGGAACCUGCCUCAAAGAGGGGGACAACAGUUGGAAACGACUGCUAAUACCGCAUAAGCCCACGGCUCGGCAUCGAGCAGAGGGAAAAGGAGCAAUCCGCUUUGAGAUGGCCUCGCGUCCGAUUAGCUAGUUGGUGAGGUAAUGGCCCACCAAGGCAACGAUCGGUAGCCGGACUGAGAGGUUGAACGGCCACAUUGGGACUGAGACACGGCCCAGACUCCUACGGGAGGCAGCAGUGGGGAAUAUUGCACAAUGGGGGAAACCCUGAUGCAGCGACGCCGCGUGGAGGAAGAAGGUCUUCGGAUUGUAAACUCCUGUUGUUGGGGAAGAUAAUGACGGUACCCAACAAGGAAGUGACGGCUAACUACGUGCCAGCAGCCGCGGUAAAACGUAGGUCACAAGCGUUGUCCGGAAUUACUGGGUGUAAAGGGAGCGCAGGCGGGAAGACAAGUUGGAAGUGAAAUCUAUGGGCUCAACCCAUAAACUGCUUUCAAAACUGUUUUUCUUGAGUAGUGCAGAGGUAGGCGGAAUUCCCGGUGUAGCGGUGGAAUGCGUAGAUAUCGGGAGGAACACCAGUGGCGAAGGCGGCCUACUGGGCACCAACUGACGCUGAGGCUCGAAAGUGUGGGUAGCAAACAGGAUUAGAUACCCUGGUAGUCCACACCGUAAACGAUGAUUACUAGGUGUUGGAGGAUUGACCCCUUCAGUGCCGCAGUUAACACAAUAAGUAAUCCACCUGGGGAGUACGACCGCAAGGUUGAAACUCAAAGGAAUUGACGGGGGCCCGCACAAGCAGUGGAGUAUGUGGUUUAAUUCGACGCAACGCGAAGAACCUUACCAAGUCUUGACAUCCCUUGACAGGCAUAGAAAUAUGUAUUCUCUUCGGAGCAAGGAGACAGGUGGUGCAUGGUUGUCGUCAGCUCGUGUCGUGAGAUGUUGGGUUAAGUCCCGCAACGAGCGCAACCCUUAUGGUCAGUUACUACGCAAGAGGACUCUGGCCAGACUGCCGUUGACAAAACGGAGGAAGGUGGGGAUGACGUCAAAUCAUCAUGCCCUUUAUGACUUGGGCUACACACGUACUACAAUGGCGUUAAACAAAGAGAAGCAAGACCGCGAGGUGGAGCAAAACUCAGAAACAACGUCCCAGUUCGGACUGCAGGCUGCAACUCGCCUGCACGAAGUCGGAAUUGCUAGUAAUCGUGGAUCAGCAUGCCACGGUGAAUACGUUCCCGGGCCUU
rnacentral:rRNA from 1 species